rnacentral:lncRNA from 1 species
UGUAGCCAAUUGAGAUAACUAUCAUCUACGACUUAAGUCAUUUAACAAUUUCUCGUGGCAAAAAUAUGUCUCCUAUUUGGUCACUUUUUUUUUGGCAAAUGUAACCUUACAUUAAAGCUGCUCCUACUCCUUUGGAACUUGUUCUUUAUUGUCUUCCCACUUAUUCAACCUCCCUUGAGCUGCUUCAACCUGCAAUUGAUGAAAUAUACUCACAUAUAAUUAUUUCAAUGAAAGAACGCUUAUGUUCCAUACUUACUAAUGGUAUUUGCUUUCUUGCCAUUACUGCUUAUUGCUAUGUUUGUCUUUCUUGACCAAAACAAAAAAAAAAA